GUAGUACGAGAUGCUACGGCAUCGAAGCAGUCUAUGUCAUACUUCCAAGAAAAGCUUGCAAUGUCAUAAACAAAUAAUGCCUGUACCAUAACCGACACAGGUGGGUAGGUAGAGUAUACUAAGGGGCGCGAGAUAGCUCUCUCUAAGGAACUCGGCAAAAUGACUCCGUAACUUCGGGAGAAGGAGUGCCUUAUUUUUAUAAGGUUGCAAUAACAAGAUCCAAGCAACUGUUUACCAAAAACACAGGUCUCCGCUAAGUCGUAAGACGAUGUAUGGGGGCUGACGCCUGCCCAGUGCCAGAAGGUUAAAGAAGUUGGUUAGCAUUAGCGAAGCUGAUAACUGAAGCCCUGGUGAACGGCGGCCGUAACCAUAACGGUCCUAAGGUAGCGAAAUUCCUUGUCGGGUAAGUUCCGACCCCCACGAAAGGCGUAAUGAUUUGGAUACUGUCUCGGAGAGGGGCUCGGUGAAAUAGACUUGUCUGUGAAGAUGCGGACUACCUGCACCUGGACAGAAAGACCCUAUGAAGCUUUACUGUAACUUGAGAUUGAAAUUGGACUUUAUCUGCCAGUAUAGGUGGGAGACGUUGAAAAUAUUCUUGCGGGAAUAUUGGAGUCAUCAGUGAGAUACCACUCUUAUAAUGUUAGAUUUCUAACUUUGUAUCAUUAUCUGGUCAAAGAACAGUUUCAGGCGGGCAGUUUGACUGGGGCGGUCGCCUCCCAAACGGUAACGGAGGCGCACAAAGGUUUCCUCUGAACGUGUAGAAAUCGUAUCUAGAGUGUAAAGGCAUAAGGAAGCUUGACUGUGAGACCUACGAGUCGAGCAGGGACGAAAGUCGGUCUUAGUGAUCUGACGGUGCUGAGUGGAAAGGCCGUCACUCAACGGAUAAAAGUUACUCUAGGAUAACAGGCUGAUCUCCCCCAAGAGUUCACAUCGACGGGGAGGUUUGGCACCUCGAUGUCGGCUCAUCGCAUCCUGGGGCGGUAGUACGUCCCAAGGGUUGGGCUGUUCGCCCAUGAAAGCGGUACGCGAGCUGGGUUCAGAACGUCGUGAGACAGUUCGGUCCAUAUCCGGUGUAGGCGUUAGAAUAUUGAGAGGAGCCUUCUUUAGUACGAGAGGACCGAGAAGGACAUACCUCUGGUGUACCAGUUAUCGUGCCAACGGUAAACGCUGGGUAGCCAUGUAUGGAGAGGAUAACCGCUGAAAGCAUCUAAGUGGGAAGCCCACCUCAAGAUAAG
rnacentral:rRNA from 1 species